rnacentral:rRNA from 1 species
GGCCCUUCGGGGUACACGAGCGGCGAACGGGUGAGUAACACGUGGGUAACCUGCCCUGUACUCUGGGAUAAGCCUUGGAAACGAGGUCUAAUACCGGAUAUGACACUGAACUGCAUGGUUUGGUGUGGAAAGUUCCGGCGGUACAGGAUGGACCCGCGGCCUAUCAGCUUGUUGGUGGGGUAAUGGCCUACCAAGGCGACGACGGGUAGCCGGCCUGAGAGGGUGAUCGGCCACACUGGGACUGAGACACGGCCCAGACUCCUACGGGAGGCAGCAGUGGGGAAUAUUGCACAAUGGGCGAAAGCCUGAUGCAGCGACGCCGCGUGAGGGAUGACGGCCUUCGGGUUGUAAACCUCUUUCAGCAGGGACGAAGCGCAAGUGACGGUACCUGCAGAAGAA